rnacentral:rRNA from 1 species
CUUCCGUAGGUGAACCUGCGGAAGGAUCAUUACCGAGUGCGGGCCCUCGCGGCCCAACCUCCCACCCUUGUCUCUAUACACCUGUUGCUUUGGCGGGCCCACCGGGGCCACCUGGUCGCCGGGGGACGCACGUCUCCGGGCCCGCGCCCGCCGAAGCGCUCUGUGAACCCUGAUGAAGAUGGGCUGUCUGAGUACUGUGAAAAUUGUCAAAACUUUCAACAAUGGAUCUCUUGGUUCCGGCAUCGAUGAAGAACGCAGCGAAAUGCGAUAAGUAAUGUGAAUUGCAGAAUUCCGUGAAUCAUCGAAUCUUUGAACGCACAUUGCGCCCCCUGGCAUUCCGGGGGGCAUGCCUGUCCGAGCGUCAUUUCUGCCCUCAAGCACGGCUUGUGUGUUGGGUGUGGUCCCCCCGGGGACCUGCCCGAAAGGCAGCGGCGACGUCCGUCUGGUCCUCGAGCGUAUGGGGCUCUGUCACUCGCUCGGGAAGGACCUGCGGGGGUUGGUCACCACCAUGUUUUACCACGGUGACCUCGGAUCAGUAGAGACCAUCCC